AGCCUUUUACAUUUAUUUGGUAUUUUUGCCUCUGUGAAAAUUCUUGGCUUUUUUCUUGUUGAUUAAAUUUUUAUAUUGAGAAUGCUAGAAAUACUUUUUGGAUAUAUAAUUUUUAUACAUAUUUUCAAUAAUUAGUUAAUAUUCUCUAAUUUUUUAAUUUAUUCCCUUCUCCAUCCACUGCAAACUCAUCAUUCCAUCGCAUUUUAGGACCAUGAAGUGUAGCCAAUUGGUGCUCUAAAACUUUCAGCCGAUAUCAAUAAGCAUUCACCUUAUAUCAUCUGCAAAUCUGAACAAAUGGAAGAUAUGUUGCCCCUACUCAACUUCUAUUCUUGCUCCUAGUCUCCUUCUUUCUCCAUUUUUCUCUCUAAUUUUUAGCUUUCAAGUAAUCCUCUCUCUUUUCCCCUUGCUGGCGUUCUGUCUUGCCAAAAAAAACCCCAAAAUUCUGGUCAUCAUCUCCCUCUCCUUCUUCCCUUUCCCUUUU
rnacentral:misc_RNA from 1 species